GGUUCAUUGGUCUAUCUGUAUGAUUCUCGCUUCGAUUGCGAGAGGACCCGGGUUCAAUUCUCGGAUGAGCCC
rfam:Danio rerio chromosome 4, GRCz11 reference primary assembly.